rnacentral:rRNA from 1 species
UCGGGAAUUUUGGGCAAUGGGCGAAAGCCUGACCCAGCAACGCCGCGUGAAGGAUGAAGUAUUUCGGUAUGUAAACUUCGAAAGAAUAGGAAGAAUAAAUGACGGUACUAUUUAUAAGCUCCGGCUAACUACGUGCCAGCAGCCGCGGUAAUACGUAGGGAGCAAGCGUUGUUCGGAUUUACUGGGCGUAAAGGGCGCGUAGGCGGCGCGGUAAGUCACUUGUGAAAUCUCUGAGCUUAACUCAGAACGGCCAAGUGAUACUGCAGUGCUAGAGUGCAGAAAGGGCAAUCGGAAUUCUUGGUGUAGCGGUGAAAUGCGUAGAUAUCAAGAGGAACACCGGAGGCGAAGGCGGGUUGCUAGGCUGACACUGACGCUGAGGCGCGAAAGCCAGGGGA